rnacentral:lncRNA from 1 species
CUUAGCCCUGCUUAGAUCUUGUGGAUAGAGGUUGUCCUUAGCCUAGCUCGAGAAAGGAUGGCUUCUAUCUGCAAGAAUAUUUUCAUUGAGAGCGUGGUGGGAUCUUACUGCAAAGUUCCCUUUGAUGCUCUUUUCAUCCUAAGGAAUACAAACAAUCCUAAGGGUGGAAGUACUUAAAUCGGGACAUGGGCUAGGAGCAGGUGAUGCUCCGCCCGGGUCAAUUAAGGAUUGGAUGCGUAUGUAGGCCUGAUAGAUCAAGGACUAUCUUAACUGGCCACAUGCCCUGGAAAUGGGACAGGGUAAGCUUGAACCCGGCUAUUCCAUACGUGAAAAGACAACCGCGCACUGGGCGUGGGAGAUGGUGGGAGUAGCGUGUGCCCUCCUAGCUAGAGGCUGGAUGGAGGAGUACUGUGCUCCCGGGUAGCGCGGACCGGUUCACGUUGUGGAGGAUCUGUGGGAAUGGUUGACAUUUGCAAGGGUUAAGUGCUACAUAUGUCGUGUGGUUAGAGAUCCUCAGCUGAGUAAAUCGAUUCGGAUCGCCGUUAUAUCCCCGGAGAGUGGAGACUUGAUCACUGACCUGCAACCUAAGUCAGGAUGUGAACCUCAUGAAUAAAAAUGAUGUUUUAUUGAUGAGAUGGUGAAAUUAGACCAGAUGCAAACAGAGUCUAUUAAUAUCUAAUCUGGCGUUAAAAUAUUGAAAAUAAGGACUCACUUUAGUAAGCUAUUUCUGCAAAAGUAUCUAAGUUGAUUUUUGAUAAAGCCUCUCCUUGAUUCACAAAUCCAGCAUACCCUUGAGAGUCUUUUCCUUAGUCGGGUAAGACUUGCUGAGUAAUUCCAUACUCAGGGUUUUAUUCCCUAUUGUUUUUCAGGUUCUAACCUUGUGCUGUUGUGAUGGUGUUAAGUGCCGGUGGGCUCGGCCUUCUUAUAAGUUUAAGUAACUCCCUUAUACUUCUUAUUGAGGAUGGUCACUUGAGCUAGCAUAUAUUUCAAACUUAUACUUUUGUAAUCACUCCGAUAAAAUAAUGUAAAAUUUUUGUAACCUGUAAAAUUUGGUAAUAAGAUUUCCGCUUUAAAAAUGUUGUGUGUGUGCUUUAUGUUACUUAAUCCCGCGAUUCUGGUUGAAAGUGGUUUAUCCGAUGUCCUUGGGGCAAUCGGACAGAUCCUGUUGAGUUAUCUGGUGCACAUGCAUGGUCGUCUGAGGUCUUUGGGACAAGGACAGGUGCAUGUGGGCCCAAUAACUUGGAGGUUCUGCCACAGCUGGUAUCGGAGCAGGAUUAAGUAUCUACGGUCACAUACGUAUUUUCAAAACAAAAGUUUUGGUUUUGAAAAACCUAUUUUCAACUAAACACAUUGUUUGGUUUUGAAAAACUAUAAUGCUAGCGACAUCCUCUAUUAAGCCCUAAGUUAAGGACUAUCAGGUGGCUUAUUCAAAACACUAACCCACAACCGGGUGGAUAUUGCAUACAUGUGUAUUGUUAUUUUUGAGGCCAUUCAGUAUUGAAUGGAUCGACGCUAAGGUAAGGUGAGAUGUGAGAGCAUGACCGAACAAUCGUCGGUCUAGGGAAGAGUGUAAAAAGCGCUUGAUUAUAUACAUGUUCCACAUAUGUAUAUAUGAAGGCUGCGAUGUGGAGUAAUUACUUUUCUGGGAUUCAGUACCCCAUGGAUGUGUAUGGGUAUACAGACAUGGGAAUACUGAGAAGUGUAAUGUACUUGCAACGACGCACCUACGCUCAGGUAAGAAGGUAAGUUACCAUAAUGAGCUGCCCUAUGGUUAAAAGUGUGGCAGCGGCGCCUAUGCGUGGCUCGGCGCUUAAUGAUGAGCUGGCCUCCGUAUAGCAAUAUAUGGAGUAUAAACUGUGAUAAACUGUCAUGUGUGAACUGCAUCAUUGGGAAAUUGGGCUAUGAUGGAUUUUUCUGCAGGUACACUAACUUCAAAAACGUAUGUGUAGUUGACGACUAGCAAAAUACUGUGAGAGUCGUAAGUAUGCCACCGAUAUAGAACGUUAUUGCCACAUUUGGUUGGCAAAAUCAGUGAGGACGUGUAAGACGAGCAUGCAUCCUGAUUGUUGCAUCAUGUUUGUCACCUAUACACCCAAGAUGCUUCUCUCAUCUUUAUUCCAGUAACCAUUGAUUGUAGAUAAUAUGGUGUAAUGCUGAAUUAUGAACUUCGAUGAAAUAGGUGUCCUCCAUUCUUUAGGUAACCUAUUCAGGUCUUAUAUGGUGUUUGCUCUCGUGCUUGAUGUGCUGAUAGAAGGUUGGUAGUUUGGUUGCUUAAACCCAAAAUUAGGCCAUGUUCUUAUUUAGUGAACCAUGCCCCCAGAGUUGAAUUCUCCAUUAUCACUCCAUGACUAAACCCAUGCAAAUAAAUGCGUAGAUAAUUUCUUUGUUGGACAUAAAUUGUGCCUAGGCUUAAACAAGAAUCUCGAGUCAUGCUUCCUUCUAAAACCAUUCCCUUGUUUAUUGGUGCAAGCUGAUGUACCUUAACCAGUUCGCCUGUUCUUAAGGAUCGCCAUGUUGAAUUAUCAACCCAACCUAGGAAAAGUAUGUCCGACCAUUUUCUUGAAUUUGAUGCCUUUGGUUUCCCCAUACCUAUCGAAGGCAUACCAACUUAAUCUUAUGAUUGUUUCCCCUCUGUAUCUAAUCAGAUACUAAUCCUUGACCCUUGUACUCUCUGCGAUGGGCAUAGAGAUAUGCUUGGGGCUGAACUUGCAGUCUCCCAUCGUACUCCCUCACCACCCAGUUUAGGUUAUGGCCAUGUCUUGUUCAUUUCAUCGGGCCAUGAUCUAUUUGGCUCUCUACUUAUAACUAUUCAUACAGGUGGAGUAUCUCUUUGUAUAUUAUCACCCUUGCCCAGUCUAAUUGUGUUGUGCGAGAUUUCUUAUUGGUUUUGUCUGGUAAUGGUGUUAUGACUAAAACCGGUGGUGCCGUGACGAAACCGAGGGCCUUCUGUGUGUGCGCACACAUGGUCGUGCUGCUCGGCACGCGCUAGUAUCACUGUUAGUAGUUGUAAUCCAUUAUGAGACUAUAUCAAUGUGUUAUCUUGGCACAAUCUGUUUUUGCUACGUGAGAUUGUUAUUGGUGCCAGUUCGGUAGUGGUGUCACGAUUAAGGACUUAUGGUGCCGCUGCGAAACUGAGAGCCUCCUGUGAAUGCGCACACAGGAUUUUGCUGCUUGGCGCAUGCCGGUAUCGAGGUUUCUAGUCAUGAUCCAUUAUGGAACUACAUUGAUAUAUUAUCUUCCAUGGAUCCUUCCUUGGAACAAUUUCGGUGUUGUUUGUCGAAGUGACCAAGCAACAUCUAUCAUGACUGUUGGAUCAAAACGGGCAUACCCCUUACAUGUGUGGUCUCUUUUCCCUUGACUUUGAUAGCGACUGCACGCAUACACAUUCCCUUCACAUCCUUUGUGUAAAGGUGAAGCCUUGGAGCUUUUUAGUGUCGAGGGACAACUGAUUAGCUCUCAAAAUAGAGAUUUGGCUUUCCCUGCCACUAAGAUGCAGGAGUUUGUUCAUUCGCUCUCUUAAUUAAUCCAUGUAUUCCCGAACCAAGUCAUUUCAUCUCCCAUGGAAGAAACGGAUGAACAACGUGACCAAAUGGAUUUCUACCCAAGUGCAUGAUUUCCUGUUAGUAAAUGUGAACUCUCAACCCUUGGAUUCCCAAUGGUACUGAGAGGACUUGCCCAAUGUCAAAAGUAGUUCAACAAGUUGGUUUUGACCAACUUGUAACUGCACUUGAAACAAAGAUUGAGUUUAGAGAUCGUUUUAUCGAUUUGCCUGAACUCACUUUGGUCUAACCCACUCUAAAGAAAGUACUCACAAAAGUUAAGUUAAGUCGACCAGUAACCACCUAAUCAUCGCUCUAGUCAUGCCUCGAUCGCCUCGUGUGUGUUUUUCCAGCAUGGGUGAUCAAGUCGAGCCAUGGUUAGUGCUGGAUUCAAUGGGCUGGUUGUAAAGUCCGUAUCUACAGAUCCCUUUGCGGGUGAUUCUCUCGAAUCUAUCUCACCUUCUGGGAGUUAGAUUUUCUAGCGGGACACGAGUUAACUGUGAUGUUGUUCGACAUUCACACCCGUCUCGUGUGCUAUGAACUUAUCGCGACCACUUGUUGGUAAACCUCCUUCUGUGUGUUUUACCCAAGAUGGUGCAUCUAGUUCUAUUUGGGUAAAAUUGCAUAUCUGGCGCUUUCUCAACAAACUCAGAUAGUACAAUGUCAUCAGAAAAAGCAAACUGCACACAUGGAACCUUAUGUGUUCCUCUGGCAGACAUGGUCUCUAUUGAUGGACAUUCUAAAUUAGCCUAAGGCGAUUCAUGCUAUGUCCACUAGAGAAGCAACAUUCUGAAACACUUGUCUUCGCUCAGAACUGCCUUAUGAUUACCGCUGAUAUGGACGUGGGUUACAUGUUUCUCUACUCUUGAAAGUCUUUCGCUCCGAAUCUCGGGACGAGAUUCUUUUAAGGGGGGAGGGCUGUAACACCCCAGGUGUUUAUAUUCCUCUCGACAACGAGUACGGAUUUAAGCACGCAAAAUCAGUGGAUAAAACGGAUGCGAAAUUUUAAUAAUCUUCGCCUAUCGCGAUUUUAAUAUCGCAUAUUUGCCGUCUGUCGUGAGUGCGACAUAGUUUUUAUUUUCAUCUAUUCGGGCUCGUCCUAAAUUUUCGUGCUGUUCGGAACAUAUUUGUUCUGAAUAUCGGUGCGUCCGAUGAUUAAUUAAAAUUCAUCGCUCGCGCGAAUCCGAAUUCGGAAGCCCGACCACUCGGAUACUUUUAUCCCGAACAAAUUAAAUAGAACCUGACGACUAAGUUUCCGGUGAAAAAUAAAGUAGUCCCCUUUUUGUCAUCCGUAACAUCACAUCUACGGAUGUUUAAUUAAAUUGUUCUUUAGUCGAAUAUUCAGGUAGCGGUGAAAUUCGUUUAAGUUCAACUAAAUCGAAUGUCUAUUAAAACAUCGAAUCUGAUAUCGUUUAGUUUGAUCCGUUAACAGCAGGCUGUUUAAAUAAAAUAAACCUGAACUAACCAAAACCAUAGCAAUUGUUAGCAGAUUUGGUGUCCUAUUUUAAAGUCCAAGAAAAUAAUAUGUGUAACCGAAAUGUCGAUUUAAUUCGGUCUAAUUGCUUCUCGCUUAGAUAUACAUCUUCAGAUAAAAAUACAUUCCGAUAAAAAUAACUGAUAAAAAUUUAUCUGAACUCUAGAGUAUCCGCUAAAUCAAAUUCUAUCCAAAUUUGGUAUUUAAUACUGUUCUGAUCCAACUGGUUGGGUAGCGAGUGAAUAUUUGUUUGGUUCCAGAUUAAUUAAACACAAUCUAAAGCUUACCAUGGAGAACGUUAGUGUUAAGAAAAAAAUAAAAAUAUCCCCAAUCGUUCUAAUCUCCAGCCGAGUGGGCAGCUCUAUCCUCCCGCCGCCGGUACCAGAUUUUUCCAGCCACGAUCUUUGUCCCUGCGCCGCUCUGUGUGCCUGAGGAGAUAUUUCAGCGCCCAGCCUUAUCGCGCUGCUGCCCCUGCUCAAGAUUUUUUCGAUGCCGCUGUCUUUUUCUACUCCCAGCCGAAAUCUCCUUCUCCCUGGUCAUUUCCUCGCGUUGCAUCCUGCUUCCUGUUCUGCGCGCCGGUGGUCUCGAGCUCCCAUGGCGCUCGGACUUCUGCUCGGGUUCAGGAUCUUUGCGCGCGAGCCUCUGCGCGCCCUGUCUCUCCCUUCGCGCGCGCUGCUCCCUGUUGGCCCGCGCAGUUUCCCGGUUGCCGCGCCCGGAUUUCUUCCUCGGUGCCCAGCUUGGAUUUUUGCUUAGUCGCCUGCUAUUUCCUAGUGCCGUGGUCUCGCUCGGACGCGUCCUGUCAAGGUUAUUCCUACACGUGUGUCCUGGUACCCCUGCUCGCUGUUGGGCCGACCGUGGGCAGCUUCCCGGCCUCUGUCGCACUCGGCAGCAAGUAAUUCAUGUCAGAGCAGCUACUGCGACGCCUUCCCUUGCAUCGUGUUCGUCAGAUCGAGUCUCGCGUCGUCGAUCUGUGCAGUUUCUGUUCGGCUAUCGGUUUCACCGGUCGUCGAUUUCUUAUUCGCCAUGGCUGUCCCUAUCCGAACUUGUCAGCUCACCGACUGACCGUCGUGUUCCUUGUUUUCCUUCGUCGGCCGACCCCACCGCGACUUAGUUCGUUCGUCGUGCUGGUCGCUGUCUCAUACUGUGCCUAUUAGCUCGGAUCCUGCCCCAGCUAGUCGUUACGUCAUUCACAGUCGAGUCGUCGAACCCGUCAUCCGCUGCUCAAACCCCACCUCACCAACUUGCUCCAAACACGAUCUCGUCGUUGUCCCGCGCGUCAUAAGAAUCCCAAGAAUCAGAUGAAGACGAAGCUAGCAGCGCGAUAUUUCCCAAGCGCUCGACAAAUUGCUUGGAUCGGAAAAUCGCUACCGAUCUUGUGGCUUCGAGUCAGCUGCUGAAACGGUAAGCUGAUAAAUUAUUCAGAAUAGUUUGAUCGUUGAAUAAAUUAAUGUGCUAGUGCGAUACUCAUUAAGGUGCUCGAUAAAUUGCGCAAGUCACGAAACUCUCGUCGACUUCGCAGUUCUUGCGAUUAUCGAGCCAGAUUCAGUUAUAGCGAGUUAUUUCGCUAUUCCGGUCACUUAGCUGAAUUAGUGGACCGAAUAGAAUUUUGGUAGGCAUGCGUGAUGAUAAAAUAUUUUAAUCACUUAUAAAGAUGUAGUAUAAUUUAUAAGGUAAGGGAUUAGUUCAGAAUUAAAUUUGUUAACUGAUAAGUUGUGGUUAGGCUAAUUAUGUUAAGUAUGUAUUGUUUGUGUUUCGUAAUGUUCGCGUUAGAUUCGGUUAGUUUAGAGAAGCGUAAUUAUUGCGCGUAGUCGUCUGUCGAUAACUAGUAUUUUCUUAUAAAAUUGUACAACGCCUCGCCACUAGGUGUUUAAUUCGCUAUCGCGUAGUACUAUUUAGGUUUGAAAUAUUCCUGUCUAUAUGCAUUCAUGUGCAUAAUGCAUUUCAUUCAGGUACGUUAAUUAAUCACGUGAUGCGGAAGACAAGCCAAGUCGACCCCAAGCGCGGGCUAACCCGCAGGAUGAUGUAGAUGGAUAACCCGAUCAAGUACCAAGACAAAGGCUGCUCGUCAAGCGAACGUCGUCUAACAACACUAACCUAGUGUUACUCAGGCAAGCCCCGGUGCAUGCAACCCCUUCUUUGUGUUUUUAAAUAGUUUUUGCACACUUUAAGUCUAGUGAAAUGUGCAUUAGGUUUAUAGGAGUUGCUUGGAAACCCUUUGAUGCAUUGCCUUCCUUGAUAUCCAUACCUUUAUAGAUACUUCUGGUGAAGUAUCAAAAUAUGAUUUACAAAAAUGCUUAGCCCUGCUUAGAUCUUGUGGAUAGAGGUUGUCCUUAGCCUAGCUCGAGAAAGGAUGGCUUCUAUCUGCAAGAAUAUUUUCAUUGAGAGCGUGGUGGGAUCUACUGCAAAGUUCCCUUUGAUGCUCUUUUCAUCCUAAGGAAUACAAACAAUCCUAAGGGUGGAAGUACUUAAAUCGAGACUUGGGCUAGGAGCAGGUGAUGCUCCGCCCGGGUCAAUUAAGGAUUGGAUGCGUAUGUAGGCCUGAUAGAUCAAGGACUAUCUUAACUGGCCACAUGCCCUGGAAAUGGGACAGGGUAAGCUUGAACCCGGCUAUUCCAUACGUGAAAAGACAACCGCGCACUGGGCGUGGG